CGGACGCGUUUCGCACAGGAGGAGGCUCUAGCGUAAGCGCCGGGAGCGCUGGGAGCCCGGGCCAUCUCGAGACACCUGAGGGCCUGGGGGCUGAGCCAGGGACGCUUUGUCUUCGCGUCUCAAUGACGGAUUGACGGCCGUUUGCAAGCGGCUCUGAAGCGAGUGCGGACAGCCUUAGGACGGAUUCCCUGACGGAUGCGCUUCCGGGGGAGAACCAGGAGAGACACACAACAUCGCCUGGGGCCACCUGCCCGAAGGUGCCCGGGAACACCCACGAAAACACAGAAACCUGGGCUUCGUUAUGCAGGAGUUUUGUUCCUGAAGAUGGCAUUGUUUGCAACCUCCCUCCCCACCCCACUCCUUUCUCCGGGAACAUGAACGUCUCUGGAUUUCUCAAUCUCUGAAUUUGCCAACACCACGAAAAUUCACACCCGAUGCUUUGCAAGAGCUGCUAUUUAUAGGAGCGCUGGGUUUCAGUGGCUUCUCUCCAGAGUUGCAAAGUCACUCUCUAAUGCAGCUGUUUCAUCAGGCACCGCCCCGUGUCCUGGGCAUCUGGUCUUUUUACAUUCCUUUGGGUGCACCCAUAAUAUUCUACUGGGGGCCGGAAGAGAGAAUUUUGGGCUCCAAUUUAGCUUCAUCAUGCAGAAUCGACCUUCCUUUUACAAACUCAUCCAGCCAUCCACUCACUGUUUGUGUGAACUCAGCAAGUUACUGAACCCCCCAGGCUCAGUUUCCCCAUUUGUAAGAUGGGGCCGAGCAGCCCUUAUGACGAGUCCGGGGAAUUGUGAAGUCCCCGGUGCAUGAAUGUCACCGCGAAUGUUGGCUGUAUGAUCACCAGUCACUCAGCAACACUUGUGUGCACCUGCAUGGCGGCCCCGGGCCCACCAGACUCGGAGGCGACCAAUCUCAGUGCUGGUGAGAAGGGCUAUGACAGGGGCCCUGCAGGGCACUGGCCCUGAGCCCACAUCCCAGGCAGCAGUUAAAGCUGCCAAGGAGAGUGAAAAAAGCCACCCAGGAGCAACCCAGGGCUGGGCCUUGAUGGGAUGAAUAGGAGUUUUCCAGGCAGAAGGUGGGGGAGAGGGACUCGUAUGCAGUGGAGUCAGGAGUCAUUCUCAGGGACAGGGGGAGUGCAGUGGUCUCUAGGAAGAGACAGGUGCCUCAUACCACAUAGAACAAUUAGUUUAAAGUGGGUUAAAGACCUAGACGUAGAAAUUCAAACUAUAAAUCACUGAGAAGACAUAGGGGUGAAUCUUUUUGAGCUUGGUUUUCUUAGAUAUGACCCAAAAAGCACAGAAACAAAAGAAAAAGAUAGAUAAACUGAAUUCCUCAAAAUCAACAAAUUUUGUGCUUCAAAGGACACCAUCAAGAAAACCAAAAAACAAUCUGCAAAAUGGGAGAACAUAUUUGCAAAUCACUUGUCUAUAAGAGACUUGUAUCUGGCAUAUAUAAAGGGGGUUAUAUUACACAAAGAACAAUUCCAACUUGACAACGAAAAGACAAGCAGCUCAAUUAAAAAAUGGCAAAGGGGCCGGGCACAGCGGCUCACACCUGUAAUCCCAGCACUUUGGGAGGCUGAGGCGGGUGAAUCAUGAGGUCAGGAGAUCGAGACCAUCCUGGCUAACACGGUGAAACCCUGUCUCUACUAAAAAUACAAAAAAAUUAGCCACGCAUGGUGGCGGGCGCCUGUAGUCCCAGCUAUUUGGGAGGCUGAGGCAGGAGAAUGGCGUGAACCCGGGAGGCGGAGCUUGCAGUGAGCUGAGAUCGCGCCACUGCACUCCAGCCUGGGUGACAGAGUGAGACUCUGUCAAAAAAAAAAAAAAAAGCAAAGGAUAUGAGUAGACAUUUCUCCAAGCUGAUGCACAAAUGACCGAUCAACACAAAAACAUGCUCCACAUCAGUAGCCAUCAGGGAAAUGCACCCACUAGGGUGGCUACAAUCUCUAUUAAUAAUUUUGUUUAACUGGAAAACAGCAAGUGUUGGUGGGGAUGUGGAGAAAUUGGAAACUUCAUUCAUCGCUGGAGGGAAUGUAACAUGGUGAGGACACUGUGGAAAACAGUCGGGCAGUUGUUCCAAACGUUACACAGAGUUGUCACAUGACCCAGCAAUUCUGCUCCCACAUAUAUGCCCAAGAGAACUGAAAGUGUGUCCACAUUAAAAACCUGUCCACAAAUGUUCAUAGCAGCAUUAUUAAUAAUACCCCGAUGUGAGAUUAACGUACAUGUCCAUCAGCUGAUGAAAUAUGGGCUGCAUCCAUCCAACGGAAUAUUAUCCGGCCAUAAAAAGGAAUGACAUCAAAUUGAAGGCAGGGUCUUGAGGAGAUAUUUGCACACCCAUGUUGCAUGUUCAUUGCAGCAUCAUUCAUGAGGACUGAGAGGUGGAGGAACCCUGUGUGCUGAAAUUGGGGCUGGCCGAGCCAGGUAGGAGGUGGACAGGCUCCCUGACGGCUCUCCAGGGACGUCCUUCAGGGACAGCUUUGAGGACGUCCCAUGAGCAGUGCCCACGUGGUCAAGGGCUUCAGUACCCAGCAGCAGCUCUCAGCCAUCUUGACCAUGAGCAAGGAGAGGACAUAUCUGGUGCCUCAAAAGAACAUCUUUGCCUAAAGCUCAUCUGGGAGAGAGAGCAAGCAGACUGCAACUUUCUGAAACUGCUUGAACCAAGUGCAUGAAUUUGGUGCAUCCUGAAGUCCCUCUGCCCAGAGAGGGCUGCUAGUCUGUGCAUGGCAGGAUGGACCGCUGCUCUGAGUCACCUUUGCUGAGCAGCCAAGGCUGGGCUUCCCUUGGAAUUGCUUCCGGAAUGAUAUAUUCAGGGCCAGUCCUUGGCUGUAGUUUCUAGACUUCUCCUCGACAGGGCAGCUCCUUGGUGCAGCUCUUGCUGCACUGCUGGCCCCGGUCUGGCUCUCUUGGUGGCUGUGGCCACCCGUGCCAUUGCAUGGUCCGAACAGUCUCUGUGUAUAUUCAGCUUGCUUCCUGCUGUGGGGCCCCACUCCUGCUGCAGAACUCAGCCCCUGGUUCAAUGCUGACCUUUGUACCCCAGUCCCUUAACUACGCAGGCAUCUUCCUGUGUGUGUGGUGUUUUGUAGGUAUACAUCUCUCUUUCAGCAGCUAGCUGAAGUAUGAUUUGCAUACAACAAGCCGCAUUUAUCUAAAGUGUUAUCAGUUGAUAUGUUUUGCCUUUUGCAAAUGACACCAAAAGCAUCACCACAAUCGAGAUAAUAAACAGACCCCACCAAGCCUCCAGUGCCGCUUACCUUCCUCCCGCCCUCUCCCUCCACUCUCUCUCUGCAGCCCACUGACCUGCCUUCUGUUUUCAUAGGUGAUAUAGUUUGGAUCUGUGUCCCCACCCAAAUCUCAUGUCAAAUUGUAAUCCCCAAUGCUGGAGGUGGGGCCUGGUGGGAGGUGAUUAGAUCGUGGGAGUGGUUUCUCAUGGUUUAGCACCAUCCCCACUGGGAACUCUCAUCGUCAUAGUGAGUUCUCAUGAGAUCUACUUGUUUAAAAGUGUGUGGCACCUCCCCUCCCCCGUCUUGCUCCUGCUCUAGCCACGUGACCUGACCUGCCAGGUCCCCCUUUGCCUUCCGCCAUGAUUGUAAGUUUCCUGAGGCCUCCCUAGAAGCAGAAGCCACCAUGCUUCCUGUACAGCCUACAAUUAAGCCCCCCCCUUUUUUUUUUAAAUAAAUUACCCAGUCUCAGAUAUUUCUUUAGAGCAAUGCAAGAACCAACUAACACGAUAGGUCAGUUUAUAUCUCCUUACGUUUUGAACACAUGGAAUCUCUUACAGUGUUUACUCUGUCAUGUUGUGCCUGCUUCUUUGAGAUUCUUUCAUGUUGUGUGUGCGAAUAAUUCACUCCUUUUCAUGACUGAUUGGACCUCCACUGGUUGGAUAUAACACGGAUUAUCUGUUUCCACAUCGAUGGACAUUGGGGUUGUUCCCAGUCUGAGACCAUUACAGAUAAAGCAGCCAUGGGCAUCCUUCAUAGGGACAGGCCGUUUCAUACUUCCCAGGGAAAGGCCUAGAAGAGGAAUCAUACAGCAGGUGUGUGUUAACCUUUUCAGAAACUCAGUAACAAGAAUACAAAACUUUUUCAGAAACUACAAAACUGUCUUCCAAAGCAGCUGCACCAUUUUGCUUUCCCAGCGUCAGUGAUGGGAGAUCCAGUUCCUCCAUGUCCCCAGCAGCCAUUGGUAUAGCCAUUGUUUUUAAUGUAGUGCUGGAAUAGGCAUGCAGUGGCAGCUUGCUGUGCUUUUAGUUUGCAUUUCUCUGAUGAUGGACGUGCUGAGCGUGCUUUCAGGUGCUUCUUUGCCACUUUUUUUUUUUUUUUUUUUUGAGAUAGAGUCUCACUCUGUCGCCCAGGCUGGAGUGCAGUGGCGUGAUCUCGGCUCACUGCAAUCUCCACGUCCUAGGUUCAAGCGAUUCUUCUGCCUCAGCCUCCUGAGUAGCUGGGAUUACAGGUGCCCGCCACCACACCUGGCUAAUUUUUUUGUAUUUUUAGUAGAGACAGAGUUUCACCAUGUUGGUCAGGCUCAUCUCAAACUCCUGACCUCAGGUGAUCCACCUGCCUCAGCCUUCCAAAGUGCUGGAAUUACAGCCAUGAGCCACCACUCUCAACCUCUUUGCCACUUCUAUGUCUUCCUUGAAGUGUGUGUUCCAAUCUUUUGCCCAUUUUUAGUUGGGUUGUUGGUUUUCCUGCUGUUGAGUUUAAAGAGUUCUUGAUAUAUUCUACUUACACAUCCUUUAUUGGAUAUACAAUUUGCAAAUAUUUUGUUGGUCUAUGGCUUGCCUUUUUAUUCUCUUAGCAUCUUUAGAAGAACAAAAGUUUAUUCUACUUAAUGAAGUACGAUUUAUUCUUUUUUCUCAUAUAGAUUGUGCUUUUCCUAUUGUAUCUAGAAAAUCUUUACUUUGAGAGUACAAAGAUUUUCUACUGUUUUCUUCACUAAUGUUUAUAUUUUUACUUUUAUACCUAGAUCUAUGAUUAAUUUUCAGUUAAUUUUUUUCAUGAUGUGAAAUACUGAUCAAAGUUAUUGUUUUGCAUGUGGAUAUACAAUUGUCAUAGCACCAUUUGUUGAAAAGACCAUCUUUUCUCAGCUGAAUUGCCUUGACUCUUUUGUUAAAAAUUAAUUCAUCAAGAAUUAUUCACAACAGCCAAGAGGUUAAACCAACCCAAAUGUCCAUCGACUGGUGAGCAGAAAAAUAAAUGUGAAACAUGCUUACAGUGGGACAUAAUUCAGCCUUAAAAAGGAAGGAAAUUCUCACACAUGUUACAGCGUGAAUGAAUCUAGGGGUUCAUCUUCAUAAAAUGAGUCAGUCACUAAAAGACAAAUACUAUCUGACUCCACUAACAUGAGGUUUCCUAAGUGGUCAAAUUCAUAUGAACAGAGAGUAGAAUGCCGGUUACCAGCGACUAGGGGAGGGAAAAUGGGGAGUUGUUGUUUAAUGGUACAGAGUUUCACCUUUGCAAGAUGAAAAAGUUUUGGAGAUUGGUUGCACAACAUUGUGAAUAUAUUUAACACUACUUAAAUAUACGCUUAAAAAUGAUUAAGGCCUGGUGCAGUAGCUCACACCACUUUGGGAGGCCGAGGCAGGAAGAUCACUUGAGCCCAGGAGUUCAAGACCAGCCUGAGCAUCAUAGUGAGACAUUGUGUCUUACUAAAAGAAAAAAGAAGAAAAAAAAAAACGGUUAGCCAAGCACAGUGGUUCCACCUACUCGGGAGGCAGAAGUGGGAGGAUCACGUGAGCCCAGGAGGUUGAGGCUGCAGUGAGCCAUGAUCAUGCCACCACACUCCAGCCUAGGUAACAGAGUAAGACUGUGUCUCAGAAAAAAUGAUUAAGGUGGUACAUUUUAUGCUAUGCAUUUUUUAACCACAAUUAACCACGUAUCUGUGAAUCGGUUUCUGUCCUCUAUGUUGUCCUGCCGACCUACUGUUGAUAUUGACAUCAUCAGUGCCACAGUGGCUUGAUGACUGUAAUUUUAUAAUAUCUCUUGAAAUAAAUUAGCAUAACUCUUCCAAUUGUAUCCUUCUUUUUCUUUCUUUCUUUUUUUUUUUUUUUUUUGAGACAGUCUCACUCUGUCACCCA